rnacentral:rRNA from 1 species
CUGCGGAAGGAUCAUUAAUAGUGCCCUCUGAUGCAAAUCAUUGGGUUAGAUCUGCUCUCUUCGCAAGAAGAGGGUUUCCAUACACACCGUGAACUGUGGCUUCGGCCAUCACAAACUGUUAGUAAUGAAUGUAAUAUCAUAACAAAAACAAAACUUUUAACAACGGAUCUCUUGGCUCUCGCAUCGAUGAAGAACGCAGCGAAAUGCGAUAAGUAAUGUGAAUUGCAGAAUUCAGUGAAUCAUCGAAUCUUUGAACGCACCUUGCGCCCUUUGGUAUUCCGAAGGGCAUGCCUGUUUGAGUGUCAUGAAACCUCACCCCACUUGGGUUUUUGCCUGAGCGGUGGUGUAUUGGGUGUUGCCUUGCUAAAGGCUCGCCUUAAAGACAUAAGCACCUUGGAUGUAAUACGUUUCAUCCUUCUGGGUGGCUGAUAACCCCACAUAUUCAUGAUCUGGGCCUCAAAUCAGGUAGGGCUACCCGCUGAACUUAAGCAUAUCAA